rnacentral:misc_RNA from 1 species
CAUAAGUGCAUAGAGACAGAUACGUAUAUUUAUUUAUCAUCCGUCGAUCGUACCCCUCCGCCCCCCACAAAAAGAGGUUAACAGUAGGAAAAAGCGCGCCGAAUAUCGAAAGAGGAAAGUUAAUUAUAAACCAGGAUAACGUGUUGUUUUCUGUUGGCGGACUCUGCGCGGACCUGCAUUACCGAGUGCAUAUUGGGAACACCUUUGUGGCUGAGUUCGUUCACGACUUAGGGUUCGAUUGCCUCUUUCUGGAUCGCACACCUUCAUAGAAGUGAUACUGAGGAGGUUAUUCCUAACUGCCUGUUUAACAUGGUAUUUGUUCGAGAGUCACGUUUUCAGAGUGCUUGAAUAUGUAGUGUUAUCCGUUUAAUUAACUGUGCAGGAACACGGGCCUUGAUGUAUGUUUCCAGAAAUAGUUACGGUCAAGGUAACAUACAUUUUCAAACAUAAUUAUUAAUAGAGAGGGAGAGUUAGUGAGGACAAAUGAUCCGGACGAGAAUACACGACGAAGAUUAAUAAUAUAUGAGCAUAUAACAAAAAGAAUAUGAUAAAGAUGCGAAGCAUUACUGUUAAUUAACGGCUUUACGUGACCAACCUUGUUUUUCUUCUUCUCUGACUAAUACAUGCUUACAUUUGAAUUUUAAAAUAUCCAUAAUGAAACGAUGGCCAAGUAUUGUGAUCACUGGGGUCAUCAUCGUGUACUUAUUAUUAUGGUGUGUUCCUUUGCUUAACCUCAAAGGCUUUAACUUUCGAUAUGACUGGAAAAAGUUUGGCAACAACGAUAGUCCGUCGCUUCACGCUCCCCUGGUGAUUACGAUGUGCGAGUCCACAGAAUCAACGCUGGAAAAUGGGGAAAAUAUUACGGACAUUGUCAGUAAAGCCGACACCAAUUACGAAGCAGCAUUCAAGCUUCGCGGGUCAUGGACUAGGCAGAGAGACCAAGUAACAACUCUACUGAAGACUCUCCUAUUAUUUAGCCAAUCCCCCACCUGGCGCAUUAUAGUUCUCACGGAUAACGACAGUACAUUCACCAAGAUUGUUAAAAUAACUGAAGGUUUUCCUGACCGUGAACGAAGCCGUUUGCUCUUGGAACGCCGGGCUCAGUGGUACCCUGCUGCGCAUCCGGAAUUACGCGACGACUGGCGGCCCUGCGCUUGGGCUAAACAGUUCUUGGCCGAGGCGCUGCCCGACGAAGAUGCUGUGGUCUACGUGGACACAGAUGUUGUGUUCCUCGGGCCAGCGGAGGCGAUAUGGAGUAUUUUCGGAUCAUUAGAUUCCAAACAGUUAAUUGCUUUAUCCGCAGAGCCGCAAUACCUAUUCGAUGAACCAAAGCGCUUCCAGGCUGGCAGUAUCGGUCUCAAUACUGGCGUGAUAGUGACAAACCUCACGCGCCAAAGACAACUUCCUGGAGGAAGUCUAGGCUCGGCGAUGAUUCAAGCGGGACUCCUCAACUCACGCUACCUGUACCGACACGACCAGGACGCCCUCAACCACUUCCUAAAGAGGAAAACUUACCUGUUUCAAGAGGUUUCGUCUCGCUGGAACUUUAUCGUCGGUGCCUGCAACAAAGAGGCUCCGUACUGCGUCGAGUGUGUGUCUUACGGAAUCGUCGUUCUCCAUGGGGCUGAUGCCACUUUCUACAGGCCCAUCGACAGGAAAUUUCUGGCGAUAUACGACAGUCUCCUGCACAUGUCCCUGGCUGAAGACCCGCACCACCUGCUGGUCAAGAUCAAGCGGAGACUCGAUGUGUUAGACUCCCUGCACUUGAAGGAUUACCUCUGCCACGACUAUGCUAUGUUUAAUCAUGCUGUAACCGUUGGCCUUUCUCGCCUUGUGAAGACAGGGCGGUGUAAGCAUUAAUUGCGAGCAGAACCGGUAUACAGCAGAUUCAUUUUAUUUCCUUGACACCUCAACACUUACAGGGUUCAGUUGAGGCCUUGGCUGGGACAAUGUUUACAGAUCCUGGGGAAGCAGGAUGUGACGUCAGAUGUAAACAAAGAUGUCUGAACGCUCGUUUGUAUCGCAAGAGAAAUAAGAAAUAAGUCUAUUGGAUGUGUUGUAGGAAUUAAAAUGAUUGACAAUAAAUUCCAUCAAAAACUAA